rnacentral:rRNA from 1 species
CACCUGUUCCCAUACCGAACACAGAAGUUAAGCCCUUCAGCGCUGAUGGUACUUAGGGGGUAGCCCCUUGGGAGAGUAGGUCGUCGCUGGUU